GGUUGUGGCUCAGUGGUAGAGUGCUUGCCUAGCACGCAUGAAGCCCUGGGUUAGAGCCUUAGCACCA
rnacentral:tRNA from 1 species